CCUACGGGGUGCAGCAGUGGGGAAUAUUGGACAAUGGGCGAAAGCCUGAUCCAGCCAUGCCGCGUGUGUGAAGAAGGCCUUCGGGUUGUAAAGCACUUUCAGUGGGGAAGAAAGCCUUGGGGCUAAUACCCUCGAGGAAGGACAUCACCCACAGAAGAAGCACCGGCUAACUCCGUGCCAGCAGCCGCGGUAAUACGGAGGGUGCGAGCGUUAAUCGGAAUUACUGGGCGUAAAGUGCGCGUAGGCGGUCUGAUAAGCCGGUUGUGAAAGCCCCGGGCUCAACCUGGGAACGGCAUCCGGAACUGUCAGGCUAGAGUGCAGGAGAGGAAGGUAGAAUUCCCGGUGUAGCGGUGAAAUGCGUAGAGAUCGGGAGGAAUACCAGUGGCGAAGGCGGCCUUCUGGACUGACACUGACGCUGAGGUGCGAAAGCGUGGGUAGCAAACAGGAUUAGAUACCCGUGUAGUC
rnacentral:rRNA from 1 species